GGAGCGGCACGGGCCUGGUGGCCCAUCCGGCCUUCAAAGCCGGCAGGGCGAGGCAGCCCCUCGCUUGGAAGGUUCGAUUCCUUCGCCGCUUCG
rnacentral:tRNA from 1 species